rnacentral:rRNA from 1 species
GACGAAGGAUGCAAGCGUUAUCCGGAUUCAUUGGGUUUAAAGGGAGCGUAGGGGGUCUGCUAAGUCAGUGGUGAAAUCUCUCGGCUCAACCGAGAAAUUGCCAUUGAAACUGGCGGACUUGAGUACAGUUGCCGUUGGCGGAAUAUGACAUGUAGUGGUGAAAUACAUAGAGAUGUCAUAGAACACCGAUUGCGAAGGCAGCUAACGAAGCUGUUACUGACACUGAGGCUCGAAAGUGCGGGGAUCAAACAGG